rnacentral:rRNA from 1 species
UGGGGAAUUUUGGACAAUGGGCGAAAGCCUGAUCCAGCAAUGCCGCGUGUGUGAAGAAGGCCUUCGGGUUGUAAAGCACUUUUGUCCGGAAAGAAAUCCUUGGCUCUAAUACAGUCGGGGGAUGACGGUACCGGAAGAAUAAGCACCGGCUAACUACGUGCCAGCAGCCGCGGUAAUACGUAGGGUGCAAGCGUUAAUCGGAAUUACUGGGCGUAAAGCGUGCGCAGGCGGUUUGCUAAGACCGAUGUGAAAUCCCCGGGGCUCAACCUGGGAACUGCAUUUGGUGACUGGGCAGGCUAAGACGUAUGGCAGAGGGGGGUAGAAUUCCACGUGUAGCAGUGAAAUGCGUAGAGAUGUGGAGGAAUACCGAUGGCGAAGGC